rnacentral:rRNA from 1 species
GACGAACGCUGGCGGCGUGCUUAACACAUGCAAGUCGAACGGAAAGGCCCUGCUUUUGUGGGGUGCUCGAGUGGCGAACGGGUGAGUAACACGUGAGUAACCUGCCCUUGACUUUGGGAUAACUUCAGGAAACUGGGGCUAAUACCGGAUAGGAGCUCCUGCUGCAUGGUGGGGGUUGGAAAGUUUCGGUGGUUGGGGAUGGACUCGCGGCUUAUCAGCUUGUUGGUGGGGUAGUGGCUUACCAAGGCUUUGACGGGUAGCCGGCCUGGGAGGGUGACCGGCCACAUUGGGACUGAGAUACGGCCCAGACUCCUACGGGAGGCAACAGUGGGGAAUAUUGCACAAUGGGCGGAAGCCUGAUGCAGCAACGCCGCGUGCGGGAUGACGGCCUUCGGGUUGUAAACCGCUUUCGCCUGUGACGAAGCGUGAGUGACGGUAAUGGGUAAAGAAGCACCGGCUAACUACGUG